AGGGCGCACGGUGGAUGCCUUGGCACUAGAAGCCGAUGAAGGACGUUACUAACGACGAUAUGCUUUGGGGAGCUGUAAGUAAGCUUUGAUCCAGAGAUUUCCGAAUGGGGAAACCCAGCAUGAGUUAUGUCAUGUUAUCGAUAUGUGAAUACAUAGCAUAUCAGAAGGCACACCCGGAGAACUGAAACAUCUUAGUACCCGGAGGAAGAGAAAGAAAAUUCGAUUCCCUUAGUAGCGGCGAGCGAAACGGGAAGAGCCCAAACCAACAAGCUUGCUUGUUGGGGUUGUAGGACACUCUAUACGGAGUUACAAAGGACGACAUUAGACGAAUCAUCUGGAAAGAUGAAUCAAAGAAGGUAAUAAUCCUGUAGUCGAAAAUGUUGUCUCUCUUGAGUGGAUCCUGAGUACGACGGAGCACGUGAAAUUCCGUCGGAAUCUGGGAGGACCAUCUCCUAAGGCUAAAUACUCUCUAGUGACCGAUAGUGAACCAGUACCGUGAGGGAAAGGUGAAAAGCACCCCGGAAGGGGAGUGAAAUAGAACCUGAAACCGUGUGCUUACAAGUAGUCAGAGCCCGUUAAUGGGUGAUGGCGUGCCUUUUGUAGAAUGAACCGGCGAGUUACGAUUUGAUGCAAGGUUAAGCAGUAAAUGUGGAGCCGUAGCGAAAGCGAGUCUGAAUAGGGCGUUUAGUAUUUGGUCGUAGACCCGAAACCAGGUGAUCUACCCUUGGUCAGGUUGAAGUUCAGGUAACACUGAAUGGAGGACCGAACCGACUUACGUUGAAAAGUGAGCGGAUGAACUGAGGGUAGCGGAGAAAUUCCAAUCGAACCUGGAGAUAGCUGGUUCUCUCCGAAAUAGCUUUAGGGCUAGCCUCAAGUGAUGAUUAUUGGAGGUAGAGCACUGUUUGGACGAGGGGCCCCUCUCGGGUUACCGAAUUCAGACAAACUCCGAAUGCCAAUUAAUUUAACUUGGGAGUCAGAACAUGGGUGAUAAGGUCCGUGUUCGAAAGGGAAACAGCCCAGACCACCAGCUAAGGUCCCAAAAUAUAUGUUAAGUGGAAAAGGAUGUGGCGUUGCCCAGACAACUAGGAUGUUGGCUUAGAAGCAGCCAUCAUUUAAAGAGUGCGUAAUAGCUCACUAGUCGAGUGACACUGCGCCGAAAAUGUACCGGGGCUAAACAUAUUACCGAAGCUGUGGAUUGUCCUUUGGACAAUGGUAGGAGAGCGUUCUAAGGGCGUUGAAGCAUGAUCGUAAGGACAUGUGGAGCGCUUAGAAGUGAGAAUGCCGGUGUGAGUAGCGAAAGACGGGUGAGAAUCCCGUCCACCGAUUGACUAAGGUUUCCAGAGGAAGGCUCGUCCGCUCUGGGUUAGUCGGGUCCUAAGCUGAGGCCGACAGGCGUAGGCGAUGGAUAACAGGUUGAUAUUCCUGUACCACCUAUAAUCGUUUUAAUCGAUGGGGGGACGCAGUAGGAUAGGCGAAGCGUGCGAUUGGAUUGCACGUCUAAGCAGUAAGGCUGAGUAUUAGGCAAAUCCGGUACUCAUUAAGGCUGAGCUGUGAUGGGGAGAAGACAUUGUGUCUUCGAGUCGUUGAUUUCACACUGCCGAGAAAAGCCUCUAGAUAGAAAAUAGGUGCCCGUACCGCAAACCGACACAGGUAGUCAAGAUGAGAAUUCUAAGGUGAGCGAGCGAACUCUCGUUAAGGAACUCGGCAAAAUGACCCCGUAACUUCGGGAGAAGGGGUGCUCUUUAGGGUUAACGCCCAGAAGAGCCGCAGUGAAUAGGCCCAAGCGACUGUUUAUCAAAAACACAGGUCUCUGCUAAACCGUAAGGUGAUGUAUAGGGGCUGACGCCUGCCCGGUGCUGGAAGGUUAAGAGGAGUGGUUAGCUUCUGCGAAGCUACGAAUCGAAGCCCCAGUAAACGGCGGCCGUAACUAUAACGGUCCUAAGGUAGCGAAAUUCCUUGUCGGGUAAGUUCCGACCCGCACGAAAGGCGUAACGAUUUGGGCACUGUCUCAACGAGAGACUCGGUGAAAUCAUAGUACCUGUGAAGAUGCAGGUUACCCGCGACAGGACGGAAAGACCCCGUGGAGCUUUACUGUAGCCUGAUAUUGAAAUUCGGCACAGCUUGUACAGGAUAGGUAGGAGCCUUUGAAACGUGAGCGCUAGCUUACGUGGAGGCGCUGGUGGGAUACUACCCUAGCUGUGUUGGCUUUCUAACCCGCACCACUUAUCGUGGUGGGAGACAGUGUCAGGCGGGCAGUUUGACUGGGGCGGUCGCCUCCUAAAAGGUAACGGAGGCGCUCAAAGGUUCCCUCAGAAUGGUUGGAAAUCAUUCAUAGAGUGUAAAGGCAUAAGGGAGCUUGACUGCGAGACCUACAAGUCGAGCAGGGUCGAAAGACGGACUUAGUGAUCCGGUGGUUCCGCAUGGAAGGGCCAUCGCUCAACGGAUAAAAGCUACCCCGGGGAUAACAGGCUUAUCUCCCCCAAGAGUUCACAUCGACGGGGAGGUUUGGCACCUCGAUGUCGGCUCAUCGCAUCCUGGGGCUGUAGUCGGUCCCAAGGGUUGGGCUGUUCGCCCAUUAAAGCGGUACGCGAGCUGGGUUCAGAACGUCGUGAGACAGUUCGGUCCCUAUCCGUCGUGGGCGUAGGAAAUUUGAGAGGAGCUGUCCUUAGUACGAGAGGACCGGGAUGGACAUACCUCUGGUGUACCAGUUGUCGUGCCAACGGCAUAGCUGGGUAGCUAUGUGUGGACGGGAUAAGUGCUGAAAGCAUCUAAGCAUGAAGCCCCCCUCAAGAUGAGAUUUCCCAACUUCGGUUAUAAGAUCCCUCAAAGAUGAUGAGGUUAAUAGGUUCGAGGUGGAAGCAUGGUGACAUGUGGAGCUGACGAAUACUAAUCGAUCGAAGACUUAAUC
rnacentral:rRNA from 1 species